AGAGUUUGAUCAUGGCUCAGAAUCAACGCUGGCGGCGUGCCUAACACAUGCAAGUCGAGCGGCAGCGCGGGGGCAACCCUGGCGGCGAGCGGCGCACGGGUGAGUAAUGUAUCGGAACGUGUCCUCUUGUGGGGGAUAACCAGUCGAAAGACUGGCUAAUACCGCAUGAGCACGAGAGUGGAAAGCGGGGGACCGCAAGGCCUCGCGCGAGAGGAGCGGCCGAUGCCGGAUUAGCUAGUUGGUGAGGUAAUGGCCCACCAAGGCGACGAUCCGUAGCUGGUUUGAGAGAACGACCAGCCACACUGGGACUGAGACACGGCCCAGACUCCUACGGGAGGCAGCAGUGGGGAAUUUUGGACAAUGGGGGCAACCCUGAUCCAGCCAUGCCGCGUGUGUGAAGAAGGCCUUCGGGUUGUAAGGCACUUUCGGCCGGAACGAAAUCGCGCGGGUGAACAUCCCGCGUGGAUGACGGUACCGGAAGAAGAAGCACCGGCUAACUACGUGCCAGCAGCCGCGGUAAUACGUAGGGUGCGAGCGUUAAUCGGAAUUACUGGGCGUAAAGUGUGCGCAGGCGGCCGAGCAAGUCGAGUGUGAAAGCCCCGAGCUUAACUUGGGAACUGCGCUCGAAACUACUUGGCUAGAGUGUGGCAGAGGGAGGUGGAAUUCCACGUAGCGGUGAAAUGCGUAGAGAUGUGGAGGAACACCGAUGGCGAAGGCAGCCUCCUGGGCCAACACUGACGCUCAUGCACGAAAGCGUGGGGAGCAAACAGGAUUAGAUACCCUAGUAGUCC
rnacentral:rRNA from 1 species